rnacentral:rRNA from 1 species
UCCGUUGCAUGCCAGCCGCGUGAGGGAGGAGGUCUUUGGAUUGUAAACCUCUUUUCUCAAGGAAGAAGUUCUGACGGUACUUGAGGAAUCAGCCUCGGCUAACUCCGUGCCAGCAGCCGCGGUAAUACGGGGGAGGCAAGCGUUAUCCGGAAUUAUUGGGCGUAAAGCGUCCGCAGGUGGUCAGCCAAGUCUGCCGUCAAAUCAGGUUGCUUAACGACCUAAAGGCGGUGGAAACUGGCAGACUAGAGAGCAGUAGGGGUAGCAGGAAUUCCCAGUGUAGCGGUGAAAUGCGUAGAGAUUGGGAAGAACAUCGGUGGCGAAAGCGUGCUACUGGGCUGUAUCUGACACUCAGGGACGAAAGCUAGGGGAGCGAAAGGGAUUAGAUACCCCCUGUAGUCA